rnacentral:rRNA from 1 species
UGGUGAUUCAUGAUAACUUCUCGAAUCGCAUGGCCUUGCGCCGGCGAUGGUUCAUUCAAAUUUCUUCCCUAUCAACUUUCGAUGUUUGGGUAUUGGCCAAACAUGGUUGCAACGGGUAACGGAGGGUUAGGGCUCGACCCCGGAGAAGGAGCCUGAGAAACGGCUACUACAUCCAAGGAAGGCAGCAGGCGCGCAAAUUACCCAAUCCCGACUCGGGGAGGUAGUGACAAUAAAUACUGAUACAGGGCUCUUUUGGGUCUUGUAAUUGGAAUGAGUACAAUUUAAAUCCCUUAACGAGGAACAAUUGGAGGGCAAGUCUGGUGCCAGCAGCCGCGGUAAUUCCAGCUCCAAUAGCGUAUAUUAAAGUUGUUGUGGUUAAAAAGCUCGUAGUUGAACCUUGGGCCUGGCUGGCCGGUCCGCCUCACCGCGUGUACUGGUCCGGCCGGGCCUUUCCCUCUGUGGAACCCCAUGCC